AUACGGAGGGGGUUAGCGUUGUUCGGAAUUACUGGGCGUAAAGCGCACGUAGGCGGACUGGAAAGUUGGGGGUGAAAUCCCGGGGCUCAACCCCGGAACUGCCUCCAAAACUUCCAAUCUAGAGAUCGAGAGAGGUGAGUGGAAUUCCAAGUGUAGAGGUGAAAUUCGUAGAUAUUUGGAGGAAAACCAGUGGCGAAGGCGGCUCACUGGCUCGAUACUGACGCUGAGGUGCGAAAGCGUGGGGAGCAAACAGGAUUAGAUACCCUUGUAGUCC
rnacentral:rRNA from 1 species